CGUAGGUGGCAAGCGUUGUCCGGAUUUAUUGGGUUUAAAGGGUGCGUAGGCGGUCUUGUAAGUCAGUGGUGAAAUACGGCAGCUUAACUGUCGAGGUGCCAUUGAUACUGCAGGACUUGAGUACAGACGAGGUAGGCGGAAUUGACGGUGUAGCGGUGAAAUGCUUAGAUAUCGUCAAGAACACCGAUAGCGAAGGCAGCUUACUAGACUGUAACUGACGCUGAUGCACGAAAGUGUGGGGAUCAAACAGGAUUAGAUACCCUGGUAGUCCACACUGUAAACGAUGAUUACUCGAUGUUGGCGAUACACAGCCAGCGUCUUAGCGAAAGCGAUAAGUAAUCCACCUGGGGAGUACGCCGGCAACGGUG
rnacentral:rRNA from 1 species